rnacentral:tRNA from 1 species
GGGCUGGGGCUCAGUGGUAGAGCCCUCACCUGGCAUGUGCAAGGCCCUGGGUUCGAUCCUCAGCACCACG